AAUUUUUUUCUUUCCUUAUGGAAAAGAAUGCUCUCACUGAACCUCUCCCUCAGUCUCUCUAUCUCCCUCAACUUCUUUCUCUUACUCACUCCCUAAAUCUCACCUUUUUCACGUCACCUUCCUGCACCAUUUUUGCUUUGUUUUCUUCAUAAAUUAGGUUUGUACCUUAGGUAUUUAUGUAGUAAUUACUUGGUCUGUUUAUUUCUUUUGAAAUUUUGCUUUAUGUUCAAUUUUUGUGCAUUGCUUCAUUAUGUUCA
rnacentral:misc_RNA from 1 species